ensembl:lncRNA
GGGGCAGGGGGCGGAGCCCCGGCCGAGAUUUAGGCGACCUCCUCCUCGCCCUCUUCCUCGAACUCGCCCUCCUCGGCCGUGGCAUCCUGGUACUGCUGGUACUCGGACACCAGGUCGUUCAUGUUGCUCUCAGCCUCGGUGAACUCCAUCUCGUCCAUCCCCUCGCCCGUGUACCAGUGCAGGAAGGCCUUGCGGCGGAACAUGGCGGUGAACUGCUCGGAGAUGCGCUUGAACAGCUCCUGGAUGGCCGUGCUGUUGCCGAUGAAGGUGGCGGCCAUCUUGAGGCCGCGGGGCGGGAUGUCGCACACGGCCGUCUUGACGUUGUUGGGGAUCCACUCCACGAAGUAGCUGCUGUUCUUGUUCUGGACGUUGAGCAUCUGCUCGUCCACCUCCUUCAUGGACAUGCGUCCGCGGAAGACGGCGGCCACGGUGAGGUAGCGGCCGUGGCGCGGGUCGCACGCCGCCAUCAUGUUUUUGGCGUCGAACAUCUGCUGCGUGAGUUCGGGCACGGACAGGGAGCGGUACUGCUGGCUCCCCCUGCUGGUGAGGGGGGCGAAGCCCGGCAUGAAGAAGUGCAGGCGGGGGAAGGGCACCAUGUUGACGGCCAGUUUGCGCAGGUCGGCGUUGAGCUGCCCGGGGAACCUGAGGCAGGUGGUCACGCCGCUCAUGGUGGCCGACACCAGGUGGUUGAGGUCGCCGUAGGUGGGAGUGGUCAGCUUGAGCGUGCGGAAGCAGAUGUCGUAGAGCGCCUCGUUGUCGAUGCAGUAGGUCUCGUCCGUGUUCUCCACCAGCUGGUGCACGGACAGCGUGGCGUUGUAGGGCUCCACCACCGUGUCGGACACCUUGGGCGAGGGCACCACGCUGAAGGUGUUCAUGAUGCGGUCGGGGUACUCCUCGCGGAUCUUGCUGAUGAGCAGGGUGCCCAUGCCCGAGCCUGUGCCUCCGCCCAGCGAGUGCGUGAGCUGGAAGCCCUGCAGGCAAUCACAGCUCUCUGCCUCCUUACGCACCACGUCCAGCACAGAGUCCACAAGCUCCGCCCCCUCCGUGUAGUGACCCUUCGCCCAGUUGUUUCCAGCACCACUUUGGCCUACAAACAGAAUGUUUUGCACACAAUGUUGGUGAAUUUAACGCAACUGCUUUA